UCCGGCAUGGUGUAAUGGUUAGCAUUUCCGCCUCUCACGCGGGAGAUCGGGGUUCAAUUCCCCGUACCGGAA
rnacentral:tRNA from 1 species